UGUGUGCUCCAGCCGUCAGCCGGCCCAGCUGAGCAGCAGCAACGGACCUUGUUACCAGCGCAGCAGCCUCCACCGCUUGCUGUUGCCCUCCUCUCUCGGUGGUCUGUCCGCACAGCGCACGUCACCAUGGGCAAGAGCCGGACGAAGCGCUUCAAGCGACCUCAGUUCUCCCCUACGGGCGACUGUCAGGCCGAGGCGGCUGCGGCGGCGAAUGGGACCGGAGGCGAGGAGGACGACGGGCCGGCGGCGGAGCUGCUGGAAAAGCUCCAGCACCCGAGCGCCGAGGUCCGCGAGUGCGCCUGCGCAGGGCUGGCCCGGCUGGUGCAGCAGCGGCCGGCACUCCCGGGCCUGGCGCGGCGAGACGCCGUGCGCCGCCUCGGGCCGCUGCUGCUGGACCCCAGCCUGGCCGUCAGGGAGACUGCAGCCGGCGCGCUGAGGUGAGCCGGGAAGGGUCCGGGGCGGUGCCCACCGCUGGCCUCCCCCGCGUCUGGGCUGCGGGCGGUCGCAGCGGUCAGCCAGCGCCUUAUGUGUGCCACCAGGCACUGGCCCGGUCUCCCGUUUGCAGAGAUUUGAAGCCAGUCUCCAGGCUCCGGAGAACCCCAGUAUCCUCUCAUCUGUCCACCUGGCUGCUUCACCUGCAGCGUCCAUCUGCUCAGGCGUCCUGCCCUCACGCUUUGCGCACGUUUUACCCUCUCCAAAAGCCCUCCUUAGGGUCCGUUGCUUGGAUGAACUCUUCAGUUC
rnacentral:sRNA from 1 species